rnacentral:tRNA from 1 species
CGGAGAGUGGCUCAAAGGUAGAGCGCUGCGUUCGGGACGCAGAGGUUCCCGGUUCGAGUCCGGGCUCUCCGA